rnacentral:rRNA from 1 species
CCUACGGGCGACAGCAGUGAGGAAUAUUGGUCAAUGGACGAGAGUCUGAACCAGCCAAGUAGCGUGAAGGAUGACUGCCCUAUGGGUUGUAAACUUCUUUUAUAUGGGAAUAAAAUGUUCCACGUGUGGGAUUUUGUAUGUACCAUAUGAAUAAGGAUCGGCUAACUCCGUGCCAGCAGCCGCGGUAAUACGGAGGAUCCGAGCGUUAUCCGGAUUUAUUGGGUGUAAAGGGAGCGUAGGUGGAUUGUUAAGUCAGUUGUGAAAGUUUGCGGCUCAACCGUAAAAUUGCAGUUGAAACUGGCAGUCUUGAGUACAGUAGAGGUGGGCGGAAUUCGUGGUGUAGCGGUGAAAUGCUUAGAUAUCACGAAGAACUCCGAUUGCGAAGGCAGUUCACUGGACUGCAACUGACACUGAGGCUCGAAAGUGUGGGUAUCAAACAGGAUUAGAUACCCGUGUAGUC